rnacentral:rRNA from 1 species
CCUACGGGCGGCUGCAGUGGGGAAUAUUGCACAAUGGGCGCAAGCCUGAUGCAGCCAUGCCGCGUGUGUGAAGAAGGCCUUCGGGUUGUAAAGCACUUUCAGCGGGGAGGAAGGCGUUAAGGUUAAUAACCUUGGCGAUUGACGUUACCCGCAGAAGAAGCACCGGCUAACUCCGUGCCAGCAGCCGCGGUAAUACGGAGGGUGCAAGCGUUAAUCGGAAUUACUGGGCGUAAAGCGCACGCAGGCGGUCUGUCAAGUCGGAUGUGAAAUCCCCGGGCUCAACCUGGGAACUGCAUUCGAAACUGGCAGGCUAGAGUCUUGUAGAGGGGGGUAGAAUUCCAGGUGUAGCGGUGAAAUGCGUAGAGGUCUGGAGGAAUACCGGUGGCGAAGGCGGCCCCCUGGACAAAGACUGACGCUCAGGUUCGAAAGCGUGGGGAGCAAACAGGAUUAGAUACCCGGGUAGUC